CCCCCCGAAGUUCUAUCGCCGAUGUGAGUUUGGAGGAUUUUUCUGGCCUCCACCGUCUUCGAAACAAGAAUUCAAGGGAAUGGUUGGGUUUGUGAGCUCAAGAUAAGAAAAACCCCUAUGGAAAUUGGACUGAAAUGUCGCUGGAGGUGCUCACCAAUGUCAAGAACGACUUUCUUCUUCUUCUUGGAUAUCUGAAUGACUUCACCUGUGCUGGCCUCUUCGCUCCUAAUAGCUUCUUCUUCAAAACCAGGGCACUUCUGAGAGAAUUGCCUCCUUUUAUGAGCUUUGAUGUGUAUAUUAUUUGGUGUAAAGUAUAUAUAGAAGCAUUGGCUUAUG